GGUGAAGCAGGCGAAUUAGGCGGCGGCGGAUCAGGCGAAGCAGACGGCGCAGCAGACAGCGGAGCAGGCGGAGCAGGCGAAGCAGGCGGCGUGCGGAGCAGGCGAAGCAGGCGGCGCGCGGAGUAGGCGGAGCAAGCGAAGCAGGCGGCGCGCGGAGUAGCUAGGCGGAGCAAGCGAAGCAGGCGGCGGAGGGAGAGCAGACGCGCGCAGGCAGCGCAGAGGAGGCGCGCGGCGUCGCGGCAGAGACGGGUGUGAAUUAGCAGACGCGGUUAAUUUUGUGUACUGUUAGGAUUAAUUAGGGA
rnacentral:lncRNA from 1 species